UUUUUCUGCCUCGCUACCUCCUCUAUGUCCCGUCCCUAAACAAAUACUAGAAGACGAGGAAAAGGAGCCUUGGGUCUGGGAGCAACAACCAGAGGGAGAGAAAAAAGUUCGAAAUGAAAGGAAGGCUCACAGGGGGAUAAUUGUAGGGUGCACUGCAUACGAGAAAAGCUGCGAAAGAGGAAAGGAAGAGAAUUCAGGAGAGUGGGAGAAAGCCUUAAGGACAGACUAGUAACUUUUGCUUGCUGUUUUAGGUCACUGAUUUUACAAGUGCGAACAGUUCGAUUGUAGAUGGAGUUCAGUUUUCUCACUUAAUACUCUGUAAUUUUCAUUUCUACUUUGGAUUGAUCCCAGUUUCUUGUUAACAUUUUAAAGCUUCUUUCAGGAAUAUUGCAGGUUUUCGCUGGCUGACAGUUUUAGUUUCCAUUUCCCAAGUCAUCACACUUUCACAGGCCCCCAAAAGCACCCCCCUGUCCCCACUAGCCCUGGACUGGCAAACCGAAAGGGCACGCUAAGCCUCCAAUUUUACUACGUAUUGCGGGGGCUCCAUAUUUCGGUUUUGGAGUCUUUAAACGAACUCAACUUUUAACUAUUUGAUCUUAACAGUAAUUGAUGUUAUGUGAAUAAGCGGACAGUCUUGCUACACCUCAGUUUUGUUGAAAUAGCAUAAAAUUUUGAGAUAAAUAUGUCCCCCUAGCAAGUGAGCUAUUGAACCAGACUCCAUUCUCUCUUCUGUCCUUUCUGUGCCGUGAUGCUUCGUGAGACACAAGCUUUUAGUCUGGCUGCUGUUUAUCUUCUAUGCUUGGCACUGGGAAAAACCAAUAGACCUAGUGGCGGGAGACAUCGCAAGGGCUGAAAAUUCGUCGUUCAGAAAAUGUUACCCUUGUGGAAAAUGUCUACAGAGGCAGCUGAUGCAUCCCCAGGGAGGAACAUCAAAAGUUGCACAAAGUUUCCACUACCUUUGAAAUUCCUGAACUCAUGAGCAAGAAAUGUCAGAUGAUCUUUCAUGUCGUUAAAUUGAAUUGAAUCUGAUCCCAAGCCUCUUCUUGCCAGCUGAUUUGCCUUCUUCCUCUUUUUGACUCUGGUAGGCUGGCUGAAAACGUGCGGAACCGAAAGUGAAGAGGGUAGAAGAGGAGCCACUU
rnacentral:lncRNA from 1 species